rnacentral:misc_RNA from 1 species
GAUGAAGAACGUAGCGAAAUGCGAUAAGUAAUGCGAAUUGCAGAAUUUCCGUGAGUCAUCGAAUCUUUGAACGCACAUUGCGCCCACUGGUAUUCCGGUGGGCAUGCCUGUUCGAGCAUCAUUAUCCUCCCUCAAACCCCGGGUUUGGUGUUGGACCCAAGUUGUGUGAACAACUGGUCUUAAAGACAAUGACGGCGUCCGUGGGACCCUCGGUGCAACGAGCUUUUAGGAGCACGCAUCGAGUUGCAAGGACCUUCCGGGCCGGUCUCCUUUACUAUUUUACAAGGUUGACCUCGGAUCAGGUAGGAAUACCCGCUGAACUUAAGCAUAUCAAUAAGCGGAGGA